UACAAAGUGAGCUGGAAUGAGAUGGAGAACAUACCCAUAAUUACAAGAAGAACGAAAAGCACCAACAAAGCCAUUCAGUCUUCUCCAAAUUGCAAAGAGGAAUUCCAAAAAGAUUCAUCAAUAUACUGUAAAUGAAGAGGCACUUGAAUUCCUUUGUCCGUUCCCCAGCCUCUGAGGUCUAUAAUGAGAGAGAAUAAACACGGCUUUAUCGCCAGGGAGGAUUUAAACAGACAAGCACGGGAGGAGAGCUUAACGGUUUCAAGGACAAGAGGUCUUUUGUGAGACCCUCAACCACCUGAUUCCACUUUGGUAUGGAGCACCCACUUUACUCAUCUUUUAAGGAGAAGGAAGCCAGUUUGGAAGACAGCCUGCCCGCACAAUACUUGGAGGAUUCCAGCUCAUCUUUGAAGGAAGGGUUCAGGGGCCGGCGUGGAGGGCUUCCGCUACGAUUUUCAACCGCAGCAAUGAAUAUGAUGCGGCCCACUUUGCAAAUUGACUUCGAAGGCCGCAGUUCUGCAGUAUUUCUGCAGCCACCCGCCCCUCACUUUGAGAAAUAUACAGCUGAAGUCCGGUUCUGCAAGGAUGCUUCGUGAUUUAUGACGUGGAGGGAUGGGUUCCCAUCUGGGACUCCAGCCACUGCCGGACAGGAGAUUUACGGGUACAAUGACACCACUGAUUACUUUUGGACGCCGAGGAGAAAUGGACACAGUUUGUUUUUCACCCCUUUCCAUCUUUAAGACCUGGACUGAGCAUGGGCCUAGAUUUGAGUCUCUGUCCCAAAGCAGCGGCUCUGGGGUUCGCUUAUGGACACACACAGGCUAACUUGGAUGAGCCCAAGUCGAUAAAUAACAUAUGCAGACUGAUGGGAAACCCAUACUGUAUCUCCAUCGACGAGAAAUGCAGAGACAUUGUCAUGACCCCAGAAACCACACUUGCUCUAGGAGCCGUUCGACUCCAUCCCUCUCGUUUUGACAAAUUUGUGAGUCUUCCUGUGCGUUCUGAGGAGGCCAAACCAUGGACAUCCACAGUUCAGCCAAACCCAAUACAGUCUGAAAACAAAUGCUAGGGUUCGACUGACCUCACGCUGGACUAAAUGGCUGGACAGCUUUGUAAAUAUGGCUUCCGGCAAAUUAAUUCCCUUCUUUUUCAUUUACCAACAACAAGAGCCCCAAAUCCAUUAAGAAAGAAAAACGCAAAAUGAAAGACAACGCUGCCUAACACUCUAACUCAGUCAAUAAAUCAGACAGAAACAAUAAGUGGAAACCAUAAAUGAGGACUGGAUUGAAGUCAUUUUUCUUCACGUGGAAAUUCUCAAGACAUUUUCAAUUUCAUGCACGGCACAGAAACCAUACUAAAGACAUUUGUGUAAUAUAAGCAGGGAGGAACUCUUUUGAUGAUCGCGACAGGUCUACAUUCCAGCCAGCCCUAUGCAAACAAUGUGCCUGCCUGUCUGUCUGCUUGCCAUGCGUCCUCAAAGGGACAUAAAGUGUCUCAUAUACAUUUGACACAAAGAACGGGUUAUGUGACAUAAACCAGAUGGACUCUUCAGUAGGACCGGCAUUGUGGUUUCUCAAAGACCGCAGACUUGCUUGAUCGCUCCACCCAGGGUCUGCUUGCUGGCAACUCACUUUCAUUCGUCUUCUCACUAGUUUGGGUGAAAAGCUUUUGGGAAGCUUUGUAAGAUUGAUGAUCCAUGGCCAAUUACUGGCUUAGCCCUUGAGUCUCACAAAGAAAGCAUGAGCUCGGACGUAAACACAUAGGACAAAGACGUAGGGGCUGGGAAUACCUGUGGCUCCACAAUAUAUGAGACUUCAAGACUAUCUCUUAAAAUAAUCUCAUUCCACAGCCUGAUCCUGGUAUUUCUGGAUGGUGCCAUCCCGAGUGAAGAAAGGAGGGGCCGGCGCAUCUGACGCCCCGUGGUUGAUGAGCACCAGGGCGCCAGGCGAAAGCUUGUUAGACAACUCUGACAACAAGACGCUGCCCUUGAAAAUCAAUUAUAAACACAGGAGCUUCCCUGCAUCUGUUUCUGCUCGCAGUUUUGUGGGGCUGUCUGUCUUGGAUUUCGGUUUUAUCCUCCCUCUCUUUGGGCAGUUUCCACGUCGGUUCAAACGGCCAUCCCUGAAGGAUUAGUGUGAGUUUUUAAACCCACAGGGACAGAGUGUGUAAAUCAUGGAUGGGUGAGCAAGAGUGAUGACAGGUCAUGGCACCCGCUGCUUAUUGGGAUGAGCAGUUUAUGGGAGCAGUUGGGGUGUUUUUCAUUGCAUCUGUUUUGCCCGGUCUCCUGUUUCCAACAAGUAAACAAUCAUAAAAAAUGACUUUGACUGGUUAAAAAGGGGUGCCGACAAGUUUGCACAGAGAAGUUAUGGGUUCCUAAUCUUUUAAGGGUCCUCUAAUGGCCCUUUAGGGCUCGGCUUACACUACCUGGGGCCCGGGUUACUCACAAUUGUUUUAGCAUGCCAUUAUGUGUUUUUAGCCGAUUCUUGAAGAUGGCUAAGGAUUGAGUUGGG